UGCAAAGUGAUGACAAAGAAGAGUAAUCAAUCUGUUUCCUCCAAAGAGAACUGGUGGUGCUGUGAACCAGUGUGGAACGUUUGAUGAAUGGCCUUUUGAGCUUCCAAACCGAACCAUACCUGGUAUGCAGUAGGCUUUGGCGAACGUCUUAUCGAUAACAAAGACAGCUAUUAAGAUUUAUCUUGAUAGUGUAAAGUGAGCUGGUUAAACAGCUAAUAAAGGUGGUACCACGGGUCCCUCGUCCUUUUU
rnacentral:ncRNA from 1 species